UAUCACGCGUCGCCUGCCAGUGGCAGCUAACGGCCGCGGUAUCUUGACCGUGCAAAGGUAGCAUAAUCACUUGUCUUUUAAUGGAGACUUGUAUGAACGGCGAACCUUUUUCACUGUCUCCCUUUCACCCUUACAAUUUCCUUCUGUGUGAGAGCACAGAUACCUCAGAAGACGAGAGACCCUUGUCGAGCUUUAGCUGCUAAUGAACUUUCACCCACCUAGUCAUCAUCUAAAAGCUUUGGGUGGGGCAACCCCGGAGAAAAAAUCCUCCGAACAAUAGAAGAAAACCUUUCCUAUUAUUAUAACUAUAGAACCGAACUGUGAUUCGAGAAAUUUCCCAGGAUACACCGCACUCCUCUAGAGCCUAUGAGAGGAGGUUGGACUCGAUGUGAUAAGCCCCCUAGUGCGAAAUCUAAUGGUGACUGUCGCCUUAAGCCUCUGUCUGAGUCGACGGG
rnacentral:rRNA from 1 species